GGGCCGCUGGCGCAACUGGCAGCGCGACGGACUUUUAAUCCGCAGGUUCCGGGUUCGAGUCCCGGGCGGCCCA
rnacentral:tRNA from 1 species